GUAAACGGCACUACCCGGCACCUGGCCGACAGUAUCCGGCACACGCCCUCGCGGACUCAUAAUCCGUUGGUCGCUGGUUCGAGUCCAGCCGGCCCCA
rnacentral:tRNA from 1 species